GCCGCUCCGGCCUCCGCUCUGCUGCUGCGGCCCGCGGCACCCUGGAGCGUGCAGGGCCGCGAGUGCUGAGAUCUGCAGUGACACAUGCACACUCACCCGGAGUAACAGAGCUCCUGCUGCUGCACAGUGAGGCUGUUCCCUGUGGCAGCAAGAAGAUGGCUGUAAGAAUCUGGAGGAUUUUUUAUUACAAUAAGAGAGUUUACAGCUGGUUUCCUGUUUGAAUGGGUUUCCCUUGAGCGAUCCCCAUACACACAGAAUCCUCAACAAAAAAAACAACUCACAGCAAGUCUGUCAAGAGCUCUGGCACAGAUGCCUGAAACAUCUCUCUUCCAGACAGGAGAGGACAGACUCUGCAGAGCUACAGGAUUUGCUGCAUGUUUUAGCACAGAAGCCCCCUCAGACUGCCAGCCCUUCAGCACUCGGAAUAGGUUUUAUAUGCCAACCAGCAACGCACAGAGGACCCUUGGCUUUGGCUACGCUGUCUGCAUAUUUGCUGAAGAGCCCUCAUCAUUGCCUCUGCUAAGAAUGGAAACGAAUGUCUCAGAUGUUGGAUUUCCCAUGACAUGGAACUUCUUUUACCUAACCAGCAC
rnacentral:lncRNA from 1 species